GGGGGCCCGCAAGCGGUGGAGCAUGUGGUUUAAUUCGAUGCAACGCGAAGAACCUUACCUACUCCUGACAUCCAGAGAACUUAGCAGAGAUGCUUUGGUGCCUUCGGGAACUCUGAGACAGGUGCUGCAUGGCUGUCGUCAGCUCGUGUUGUGAAAUGUUGGGUUAAGUCCCGCAACGAGCGCAACCCUUAUCCUUUGUUGCCAUCGGUUCGGCCGGGAACUCAAAGGAGACUGCCAGUGAUAAACUGGAGGAAGGUGGGGAUGACGUCAAGUCAUCAUGGCCCUUACGAGUAGGGCUACACACGUGCUACAAUGGCGUAUACAAAGAGAAGCGACCUCGCGAGAGCAAGCGGACCUCAUAAAGUACGUCGUAGUCCGGAUUGAAGUCUGCAACUCGACUCCAUGAAGUCGGAAUCGCUAGUAAUCGUAGAUCAGAAUGCUACGGUGAAUACGUUCCCGGGCCUUGUACACACC
rnacentral:rRNA from 1 species